rnacentral:tRNA from 1 species
AUUUAUAAAAUAUAUAAUUGUAUAUUUAAUUUCCACUUAAAAAGACUGAAAACAUUCAGUAUAAAUA